CCGGCCCGGGUCCAAAUGGGAAAUCUGCCAAUGUGACCGCAAUGUGGACGCCCGGAUUUGUCCUGACACGCCCACUUUUUUUCCAACUUCAAAUCCGCGUGUGAGGGGGAACUGGAACAUUUUCUGGCCUCUCAAUCUUGUACAGGAAGACCAUUGAAAAAGAAGAAACAGACAGCCUGUCAGCGAAUAAGGACAGGGACUAUAUUUCCCAGCUGCAGUCAGUUCUCGUACUUCAAGAUGGGGCUAGGUGCCUCUGUUGCCCUUGGAUGGCUCGUCUUCAAGUCCAACUUGGCAGAGAAAUGACGACGCUUUGAUGGUCUGAAAGUCAACCUGACUCGCUCCAUAAAUCCUGACUGGAAGGCUUUGAAAAAGAGCAACGCUUCGAAAAAGGCAGGUACUGUGCACACGUGCCGCCAGACAGCAGUGCAUGUGUGAGGUAUCACAUGUAAAGUGCUGUCACAUAAAAACACACAUUUGGAUGUCACAAGUGCAAACUUUUGAACGGUGACAAGCAUUUUGGCAUUUGUGGGUCCGGCGUUACCGGGAGGAGAACCGCUAAAGUUGCCAACACGUCGUAAUACGCUCUCACAUUCAUACCCGGGGACAAUUUCGAGUGUCCCGGCAACCUGCCAUGCAUGUUUUUGGAAUGCGGGAGGAAACCGGCGUACCGGGAGAAAAGCCACACAGGCACGUGGCGAACACAGAAAAGCCGCCGCGGGAAUAAAUUCUCCGCGCUUCCAGCCAGGCGACCGUGCU